GGCUACCUACGGGACGCAGCAGUGGGGGAUAUUGCACAAUGGGGGGAACCCUGAUGCAGCGACGCCGCGUGGGUGAAGAAGCGCCUCGGCGCGUAAAGCCCUGUCAGCAGGGAAGAAAAUGACGGUACCUGAAGAAGAAGCCCCGGCUAACUACGUGCCAGCAGCCGCGGUAAUACGUAGGGGGCAAGCGUUAUCCGGAUUUACUGGGUGUAAAGGGGGCGCAGACGGCGAUGCAAGCCAGGAGUGAACGCCCGUGGCCCAACCCCGGGACUGCUCUUGGAACUGCGUGGCUGG
rnacentral:rRNA from 1 species